rnacentral:lncRNA from 1 species
CUAAGAAUGAUACAUUGCAUGGGAAAUAUAAGAUUUAUAGUAGUAAUAAAGAAUUAGAAAGUAGAGGUAGGUUAGUGAUUGAAAAUGGAGAGCCCUGAAUGCUAAAAAGAGGUAUUUGGGAUUAACUCAGUAGGUGAAAGGAAGAUGUUAAAAAUUUGAAGAUUUUUCAAACAGAAUAUCUUGAUCAUCAGGGGAAAAAUAGUUAUCCCAACAAUAGCAUAAAGAAUGGAUUGAAACAGGGAGUGGAGAAGAGAAUAUUUAGUAGGAAGCUAUUGAAAUAGCUGUAUACAGGAGGGCAGCUAGGUGAUUCAGUAGAUUGAGAGCCAGUUCUAGAGAUAAUAAUCCCUAGGUUCAAAUCUGGCCUCAGACAAUUCUUAGCUUUGCAUCCCUGGGCAGUUCACUUAAUCCCCAUUGCCUAAUUCCUUACUACUCUUCUUCUUUUGACCAAUACACAGUAUUAAUUCUAAAACAAAAGGUAAGGGUUUAAAAAAUAGAAAUAGCUGUGUAUUAUACUAUCACAAUAGUGGGGAGUGUAUUAGUUAGUGGGGAAAUUGAGAAGGAACCAGAGUUGCCAGGUACUUGGGGAAUAAAUAUAAGGUAGCACCACUGCUUCCUUCCCUUCCCCCAAGCAGAGCUAUUAACUAUGGAGUCAGUUCUGACUAGAGCUGAAAGGGUUCUGGCCUCCAAAUCUUUCAAGACAACAACCAUAUCCCAGCCCCAACUAUUCUCUUUUUCAGGCUAAGCCUUAUUUUCCUAAAUCAAUACUCAUAAGUGGACCUCCUGCUUGGCAUCUUUAAAUACAAAUCAGUUUAUCAAUGACCUUCUCAAAAAUAACACCCAGGACUGGACUCAAUACUCCAGGUGUCAUAUGCUGAGGGCAGAGAACAGCAGGACUUUCAUUUCUCUUCUGAUCACCAAACCUUCCAUCUUUUAGCUUGAGAAAAACUUUCUCAGAAGUAAAAUUACAUUCUUGAUGGCUAUAAGAGUUAUAUUAAUCACAAUACCUUC